AGCGUACACGGUGGAUGCCCUGGCAGUCAGAGGCGAUGAAGGACGUGCUAAUCUGCGAAAAGCGUCGGUAAGGUGAUAUGAACCGUUACAGCCGGCGAUGUCCGAAUGGGGAAACCCAGUGCAAUUCGUUGCACUAUCGUUAACUGAAUACAUAGGUUAACGAGGCGAACCGGGGGAACUGAAACAUCUAAGUACCCCGAGGAAAAGAAAUCAACCGAGAUUCCCCCAGUAGCGGCGAGCGAACGGGGAGCAGCCCAGAGUCUGAAUCAGCUUGUGUGUUAGUGGAACGGUCUGGAAAGUCCGACGGUACAGGGUGAUAGUCCCGUACACCAAAAUGCACAGGCUGUGAACUCGAAGAGUAGGGCGGGACACGUGGUAUCCUGUCUGAAUAUGGGGGGACCAUCCUCCAAGGCUAAAUACUCCUGACUGACCGAUAGUGAACCAGUACCGUGAGGGAAAGGCGAAAAGAACCCCGGCGAGGGGAGUGAAAAAGAACCUGAAACCGUGUACGUACAAGCAGUGGGAGCACCUUCGGGUGUGACUGCGUACCUUUUGUAUAAUGGGUCAGCGACUUAUAUUCUGUAGCAAGGUUAACCGUAUAGGGGAGCCGCAGGGAAACCGAGUCUUAACUGGGCGUUAAGUUGCAGGGUAUAGACCCGAAACCCGGUGAUCUAGCCAUGGGCAGGUUGAAGGUUGGGUAACACUAACUGGAGGACCGAACCGACUAAUGUUGAAAAAUUAGCGGAUGACUUGUGGCUGGGGGUGAAAGGCCAAUCAAACCGGGAGAUAGCUGGUUCUCCCCGAAAGCUAUUUAGGUAGCGCCUCGUGAACUCAUCUUCGGGGGUAGAGCACUGUUUCGGCUAGGGGGUCAUCCCGACUUACCAACCCGAUGCAAACUACGAAUACCGAAGAAUGUUAUCACGGGAGACACACGGCGGGUGCUAACGUCCGUCGUGAAGAGGGAAACAACCCAGACCGCCAGCUAAGGUCCCAAAGUCACAGUUAAGUGGGAAACGAUGUGGGAAGGCACAGACAGCCAGGAUGUUGGCUUAGAAGCAGCCAUCAUUUAAAGAAAGCGUAAUAGCUCACUGGUCGAGUCGGCCUGCGCGGAAGAUGUAACGGGGCUAAACUGUGCACCGAAGCUGCGGCAGCGACACUUAGGUGUUGUUGGGUAGGGGAGCGUUCUGUAAGCCUGCGAAGGUGGCCUGUGAGGGUUGCUGGAGGUAUCAGAAGUGCGAAUGCUGACAUAAGUAACGAUAAUGCGGGUGAAAAGCCCGCACGCCGGAAGACCAAGGGUUCCUGUCCAACGUUAAUCGGGGCAGGGUGAGUCGACCCCUAAGGCGAGGCCGAAAGGCGUAGUCGAUGGGAAACAGGUUAAUAUUCCUGUACUUGGUGUUACUGCGAAGGGGGGACGGAGAAGGCUAUGUUAGCCGGGCGACGGUUGUCCCGGUUUAAGCAUGUAGGCGGAGGUUCCAGGUAAAUCCGGUACCUUUUAACGCUGAGGUGUGAUGACGAGGCACUACGGUGCUGAAGUAACAAAUGCCCUGCUUCCAGGAAAAGCCUCUAAGCAUCAGGUAACAUUGAAUCGUACCCCAAACCGACACAGGUGGUCAGGUAGAGAAUACCAAGGCGCUUGAGAGAACUCGGGUGAAGGAACUAGGCAAAAUGGUGCCGUAACUUCGGGAGAAGGCACGCUGAUAUGUAGGUGAAGCCCCUGCGGGUGGAGCUGAAAUCAGUCGAAGAUACCAGCUGGCUGCAACUGUUUAUUAAAAACACAGCACUGUGCAAACACGAAAGUGGACGUAUACGGUGUGACGCCUGCCCGGUGCCGGAAGGUUAAUUGAUGGGGUUAUCCGUAAGGAGAAGCUCUUGAUCGAAGCCCCGGUAAACGGCGGCCGUAACUAUAACGGUCCUAAGGUAGCGAAAUUCCUUGUCGGGUAAGUUCCGACCUGCACGAAUGGCGUAAUGAUGGCCAGGCUGUCUCCACCCGAGACUCAGUGAAAUUGAACUCGCUGUGAAGAUGCAGUGUACCCGCGGCAAGACGGAAAGACCCCGUGAACCUUUACUAUAGCUUGACACUGAACAUUGAGCCUUGAUGUGUAGGAUAGGUGGGAGGCUUUGAAGCGUGGACGCCAGUCUGCGUGGAGCCAACCUUGAAAUACCACCCUUUAAUGUUUGAUGUUCUAACGUUGGCCCCUGACCGGGGUUGCGGACAGUGUCUGGUGGGUAGUUUGACUGGGGCGGUCUCCUCCCAAAGAGUAACGGAGGAGCACGAAGGUUAGCUAAUCCUGGUCGGACAUCAGGAGGUUAGUGCAAUGGCAUAAGCUAGCUUGACUGCGAGCGUGACGGCGCGAGCAGGUGCGAAAGCAGGUCAUAGUGAUCCGGUGGUUCUGAAUGGAAGGGCCAUCGCUCAACGGAUAAAAGGUACUCCGGGGAUAACAGGCUGAUACCGCCCAAGAGUUCAUAUCGACGGCGGUGUUUGGCACCUCGAUGUCGGCUCAUCACAUCCUGGGGCUGAAGUAGGUCCCAAGGGUAUGGCUGUUCGCCAUUUAAAGUGGUACGCGAGCUGGGUUUAGAACGUCGUGAGACAGUUCGGUCCCUAUCUGCCGUGGGCGCUGGAGAAUUGAGGGGGGCUGCUCCUAGUACGAGAGGACCGGAGUGGACGCAUCACUGGUGUUCGGGUUGUCAUGCCAAUGGCAUUGCCCGGUAGCUAAAUGCGGAAGAGAUAAGUGCUGAAAGCAUCUAAGCACGAAACUUGCCCCGAGAUGAGUUCU
rnacentral:rRNA from 1 species